CGCCGGUUUUUAUAUCCGCCCUCGUCGCACGGACCCAGCUCGCCGCCGCCCUCACCACACGAGCCCAGCUUGCCGCCGCCCCCGCCGCACAGCCUCAGCUCGCCACCGCGCCUGCUCCAUUGUUCGGUUCCGGCGAGCUCUCUGCACUUGGGCCCGCGGCUACUACCCAUCCAAUUGCAUCGAGCAGCUACCUUGCCCGAUGGAUUCGGCGGCGGCGACGUCCUCGCCAUACUUGCAGCACCAAUCUACAGCUGGCAGCAUCGGCGGCAGUGUCCAUGGCGGCGUCAUAUCCGCGGCAUCGACAGCAUCCCUCCACAGAGCCCCUCAACAUGAUUCGAUGGUAGUAGUGGCACCCUCACCUUAUAUGUACGAGGAGAAUCGCUCACCUCAACUAUCCCCUAGCAUGAUCCAAGACCUAACGAAGAUUGUUUGAUUCUGAUCUUUUUGCUCAUGGAGAUCUGGAAUCUAUUUACAGGGAGAUGCAAGUUGAGUGCAAAAUAGCAGUACAACACUGUUGCAGCAACACGGCAUGAUCUCAUCUGCCAUUAAAAUCGAUCUAUGUUCUGCUCGCAUGGGUAAUUCUCUAUCUUUCCCUUGUUCAAUGAAAUGAGCCUGGAGGUUGUUUAGCUUACUAGAUAUAGCUUAUUUGUAACAUUUAUAGAUUACUGCAAGGGACCUUUUUGCCUCAUAUUAGUUAUGCUUUGUAAUUGUUUUUUAUUUUCAGUCAACUUAGACCUGUUCACCUGUCCAGUUCCUGAUUGUUGAAUUGGUGUCCCUUCUUCCCUUCAUGGCUCUAAAGUUGAGUAUUAUGAUGUUUCUCCAGGAAGCCAUUUUAUUGUAGAAUAUUUUUAGAAGAAACCAGCCAUUUUAUUGUAGACUAUUUUUAGAUGAAACAAUUUAACUGUAAACUAUCAGGCUAUCUCUCCUAUUUUGGUUCUAAGUGUCACCAGCUAGAUAUGUUGGGAAAAAUAUACUCCAUCUGUCCCAUAAAAAGUGUCAUUCUAGGAUUCAAAUUUUGUCCCUUUGAAAGUGUUGUUUGCCUACCUAUAGGAACUGUACCAGCAGCUGUCCACCUGCACUCACCCAUCACCCACUCACUCGCCAGCACGUAGCCUGUUAGUGGCAGCAGCUUCUUCAUUUACAGUACUUCAGCUUAUGUAAUUAUUGGAUAGUAGAGGCAUGCAGGCAUUUUACUCUUCUCCUUGAUAUAAGCACCAGCCUCCCAAACGACCAUAUAUAUGGCAUAGAGGUAGUAUUUGCUGCAGACAGUUUGAUAAUACUAGGAUUGUUCUAGAAAACAGGUCGUUGUAGAAAUCCUAGCCUGCUACAUGACAAUAAAAAUAUUAUUUAGAAACACAUCUGUAGUAUGAUUCAUCGAUAAAAUUGUAAUUGGGUGAAUUCACUUAUUCAGUUAACUACUGAUGCUGAGGCACAAGAUUUAGUGCUAUGAUUAAUUUAUAAUAUUAUAAGUGUUGCUGUUGUGAUAUAGUAACUGUGGUGGAUUAAUUAGCAGCUCCUUUUUUGCUUGACUCGAUGCAUAAGCAUGGAAAUUAAAACUUGAAACUUGAUCAUCACUGCAGCUAGAGUUUGGUAAAUUUUUAUUGAAGAUCUAGCUAUCCAAGUAGUAUGCCUCGGAGACUUCACUUAUUCAGCUUAUGCCUUCCCUGACCUGUCAACCAAACUGACUCUUGUCAUGGCUUGUUGGGAUUUUGUAAUGUCGGUUCUGAAUGAGAAGGGGUUGUAGGCUGAUGCCCAAGUGAGACAUUCUGUGGCAGAUCCAGAAACAACUCAAAGGGGGGGGGGGGCUAAAAAUAGUGCAAGGUAUUUUUAUGGCACAUCAGGUAGGGCUAAAUCUAUAUUUUUAUGAGUUAUCUUAGGCUAGACAAAAGAACUGUUAAAUGGAUUUCUGGGCUGCGCCCCGGGCCUGGAUCCGCCCCUGGAGACAUUAGUUUUUCCAUGUUUGUGUGCCUCAGGUAAUUUUGUCUUCCUCCUAUCUUCCCCUCAUGGACUGUCUUCCUUGUAAAAUUCAAGUGUUUCAUUCUCCAAAAGAUCAUCUUUUAUUAAAUGAGUCCAUUCUUUCAAAUGUCAUGCGGGUAUUUUUGUUCAGCUUAUGUUGGGGAAUUGCAACACAGGACUAUCAUGUGCUCUGCAUGCUAUUACUAAUUGAAUUCUGGACUCAAACAUGUUCCCAUGAGGUUAAAAUAUUGUAUAUGCUCUGAAUUGUCAAUUCAAAUUGAAACUUUACUUUAAUUUCAUCUUUUUGUUUUUGAGAUGCCAUCAAAACCAGAUGUGUGCUCUGCUUCCUUGGAUACUUCUGUUCUCUGGCUUUUUCCUUGUUGCGUGAAAGGAGCCUGCAGAUUGUUUACCUCACAUAGAUAUAACUUAUUUAUAUUUAUUGUUCACAGAUUACUGCAGGCUGUAGAGCGAGGAUUGAUGAGGAGUCAGACAUUUAUUUAUGUCUUUUGACUUUCAGUUUAGUUGUCCAUCUUCUUACCUGUUUUUAUUUUAUUUUAUUUUCAGCUUACAUUUUCAAGACCUGAACUCCUCUCUUGUUUAAUCUAAUGAACUGCUAAUCAUAUUAUUGUUUUAUCUUCUAGCUAUCGCCCACUUGAGAAUGCUUCAGUACGAAUAUGAAAUGUGUUUCAGUAGGAACACUAGAUUCUGAUCUCAUAUCUUGUUCUUUAUUUUAGACACUCACAACAGUCUUAUUCUGUGAUCCUGUUCAUUAAUAUUUUUUAGUUAAGUAAACAUCUCCAAGUAUGUGGUUAGAAAUAAAUUUGGUCACAAGGGGUUGUGGAUGCUCAAUAAGCUAUUUCCCGAGCCACCAAAAACAACCUCGGCGCCUCCCUUUGGUGUGUUUCCACUGCCCCUCUUUUCUUCUUUCUUCUUAUGUUAGUUUUUUCCUCAAGUUUCCAAUUAUGUCCCGGGAGAAGAGGGCGGUUCCUCCAGUUAUCUCGCCUGGUAGAUGCAGUUCAUUUCUCAUGGUGCAUAUAGUCUACCUCUCCCGCAUGUUCACCGUGUAUUUGGCAGUGGCGGUACCAGCUUCCAUCCUACUCCAAUCAUCCAUUCAACUUCUGCAACUCUCUUUUACCAAUUCCCUCGUUUGGCCUGUUUGACCUAUUCGAUGGCUAUGACAGUCCCUUAUCUGUUUAGCUCCCCAGUAGCUUUUGACAACCCUUUUUGCUAAGUCCUUCCUAAACAAAAAAAAAUCUGUUACGUUAGCACAAAAUGUUUUUAUCACCCUUUAUGUGUGUUGAUUUUUCAUAUUAUGCACUAUUCAUUCUAUGUUCAGUUAUUCUUUCAUAAGCCUCUACUGCCCUAUCCACAAGUUAUGUUAUUUGACCCACAAAUAUAUUUUCUGGUGCCCUUAAUCAACUAAAGCCCUCUUGCAUAUACCCCUUUAUUCUAGCGUCUUCAUAGUCGUUCUACAGGUAGUUGGUAGCCUAGUUGAACCUUUAAUCAUGUGACUAGAGAUGUAAGUGCGAUGGAUAUUUGGGAUAGCAGCAGGCUUGCAGUGUAUGUUAUCGACCCAAGUUCUACUGUUUUGAAGCUCGUAUAUACACCUGACCAUGUGAGACCUGUCCAGUGGAUAUUUUGGAAGGGGCUGCAGUAGUCUUAUGUCUGGCCAUCUUGCUUACUAUAGAGUAUUCACAACCAUAUAUCACUUUUCUUCUUCCUAGUUCACUAGCUUCCUUUCUUAUGUGCUCAUCAGCUUAACCUUGGGCAUGAACUGAUCUAGGAGGUUACAGGUUGAAGGGCAUUGUGAAUUUGUGAUGUAGACUGAGUCUUAUAGGUUACAGGUUUAUUUGUGGUGUUAUUUGCUUAUUGUAGACAAUCCAUCUGUCCUCUGCUCGUACCGCUCGCCCUAGUGCCCUGCUCCUGUUGCUAAUGCCUCUCACUCAACAUGUCCUACAUGCCGAGGUAAGACUGGCCUUGAGGUUCUUUAAUUUAUUUUGUGCAUUAGUUUGUUAAUUAAGAGACAUCGAAUUGUCAACUAAGGAACAUAAGAAAAGAUUUCUGGUCUAUUUUAUGGAAGGAAUAAGUUCAUGUGCUACUGUAUUUUUAUUUGUGAAUAUAGAUAUAUAGGGAUUAUCUAGGCAAGAUGAAAUAUGCUAGUGCAUUCACAAAUUAGUGCUCAUGUAUGAAGAUCCACUUGCAAACUUUCUUAUGAUUUUCUUUUAGAUUUUUCAGUCAUGCAGAUCCAACUAAUCUGUAGCUUCCAAGUUUGCUACGCUGGACCGACAGAGUUGGGUUGAGAACAGUUCAGGAAAUACCAUUUUUCUGAGUAUUCAUAUGUGAUAUCUUUACAUCUAAAUUAUAUUUUUUAGAUGCUCAAUUAUGAAUGGGCAUGGCAUAGAGAAGAGUACAAAAUCAACUAGUAUUGUUGAUUGCAUUUUAGGGUAAGCUAAACAUGUAUAACUGUUUGGUGGCGCCUCCCAGCUUUAGUUGCUUUUCUUUGCUAUAUUUUAUACUUCCUUUUUCCCAUUAAAAAUGUUGAUUCAUUGAUGUUCAGUAAGUUAUUUAAGAAAGCACAAAGUAGCACCUGAGUUUGUAGGAUAAUGUCUCUUUUUUUGUCUACUGCAGAACUGGAUGUUAAGUCUAGAUAGCAACUUUUCUUGCCUAUUCGGUUUUGAUUAUUUACAUCUAGCAUUCUAAUUUCCCUCUCAAGCCAAAUUUAUGUUUUUCUUUUUUGCAGGAAAGAAGCCUUCUUGUGUGGAUGGAUGCUUUUAGUUGAUUAGCACAGAUGUACAUGUCGCCGUGGCCUACCCUCUAAACUAUUUUUUUUUCUCGAAAAACGCAGGAGAUCUGCAUCUCAUUGUACUAAGAAGAAAAAGGGGUAUAAGAACCCAGAACUUACAAUACACCACCACACCACACACACACUACACAAGCCAAAACAGCCAAGACACAGAUGCAUCUAAGCUGGCAGCAAGGCGACCCACAUCGACCUCAGGAAUUAAUCACCUGGGAGAUGGGCAGUCAAGAGGGAAAGCCCUCGAGCCCCUGCAGUGCUCCACAUCCGGCGCUCCUCACCAGCCACUACUAAAGCCCCAGCCACACUUGGAGCUGAUCCAUCAAAAAUGCAGCGAUUGCGAUGAUUCCAAAGAGUCCAGGCACCCAGAAUAAUUAGGGAGUUCACCCCUUGCCUCACCAAAUUAGUUGUAGCAUUAUCGGCUCUCUCCCACCAGUCCAGGAAGGAGUUAUCGGUAGGUUGGGGAGAUAGGAUCUGGAGACCGACCUGCCUAAGCAUAAAAAACCAAAACUCCCUAGCGAAGACACAUUCCACCAGGAGAUGGUUGAUUGAUUCUUCUGCUUGAUCACAAAACGGGCAGCGAUCUGGGUGUGGCAAGCCACGACGUGCAAGACGGUCGGACGUCCAACACUUAUUGUGGGACACUAACCACAUGAAAAAACGACAUUUUGGUGGCGCCCAUGUCUUCCAAAUUCUUUCCCAUGGCCCAAAGAGAGUAGCUCCAAGGAAGAACCCCUCAUAAGCCGCCUUAGCUGAAUAUUUGCCAUUAGAUGAAAGCCUCCAGAUAUGAUUAACCUCUCUUUCUGGUUGUAGAUCAAUGCCUGAAAGGAUGUCCCACAACUGAAACACAUCAAGUAACACUCCAACAGUUAUAGCUCCUUGUAUAUCUGCAAUCCAAGCCCGGUUAUUAAGCGCUUCCUUGACUGUACGCUUUUUGAUCCUUCUUUUAGAGAUGACGGCAAAUAGUUGAGGGGCCAGCUCUGCUAUACACUGUCCAUGCAGCCACCUGUGAGCCCAAAAAAGGGUAUGUUCACUAUCACCUACUUCAGUAACAACAGCCAUUGCAAAGAAGGACUUCACCUGAUUAGGGACUUCUAUCGGGAGAUGCGCCCAGGGGCGGUUUGGUUCUGUUUUCUGCAGCCAUAGCCACCUCAUUCUCAAUGCCCAACUAAGGGUUUUUAAAUCUGAAAUUCCUAGCCCGCCCAGUUCAGUUGGGCGGCAAACUUUUGGCCAUGCUACAAGACAAUGUCCACCUCGCGCUUCCUUUCGACCACGCCAAAGAAAAGCACGCCUUAUUUUGUCAAUUGCUUUAAUAGCCCAAGCUGGAAGAUCAGAUGCCAUGACAAUGUAUAUAAGCAUACCAGUGAGCACAAAUUGAACCUGAAUUCUUCUUCCUGCCCUUGUCAUCAACUCUGCCUUCCAUCCUGGCAGUUGAUCAGCAAUGCCGUCAAUAAUGGGUUGCACUUGAUUCUUAGUUAACUUUUUCAACGACAGAGGCAAACCUAAGUAUCUGCAUGGGAACUCAGAAAGGGAACAGGGCAGCAGGUUUUGAGUGAUUGCCAGAUCCGAGUCAUCACAACUAAUUGGCAGCACACUGCUCUUUUGAAGGAUGCAUUCGGGGUUGUCUAACCUGUGCUUUCCAUAGGGUGGUUCGUCCUGUUUGCUGCCCUGCUCUGCUUCUGCUCUCUAUACAGUGCUACUGCUGCAGUAUUCUUCAUAUACGGGAAUGUUACAAAGAUCAGUCUAGUAGCCACUAGAAUUGUAUUAAAGUUACAAAAUUUCAAGUUACUUUGGUAACAAAUAUGUUUGUCACCAACUUUUAUGCUUUGAUCCUAGACAAACAUAGAAAAUGCUGCACUUACUUUGAUUUGACAAUUUUAUUGUUCUUUAUGAACAAGUACUUAACAGUUUGAAAACUAAAAAAUGUUAUUCUUGACAGGGAUUAAUAAUUGAAAACAUAGCAUGAUUUUGUA